GGGGUGUGUAGCUUAGUGGUAAAGUAUUCGACUGCAGUUUGAGCGGUCUCCGGUUCUAAUCCGGUGUCCCCU